rnacentral:rRNA from 1 species
AUUGAACGCUGGCGGCAUGCCUAACAUAUGCAAGUCGCACGCGAAAGGGGGCAACCCUGAGUAGAGUGGCGGACGGGUGAGUAACGCGUAGGAAUCUACCUGGUAGUGGGGGACAACCCGGUGAAAACCGGGCUAAUACCGCCUACGAUCCACGGAUGAAAGCAGGGGACCGCAAGGCCUUGCGCUAUCAGAUGAGCCGGCGUCGGAUUAGCUAGUUGGUGGGGUAAAGGCCCACCAAGACGACGAUCCGUAGCUGGUUUGAGAGAACGACCAGCCACACUGGGACUGAGACACGGCCCAGACUCCUACGGGAGGCAGCAGUGGGGAAUAUUGGACAAUGGGGGCAACCCUGAUCCAGCAAUGCCGCGUGUGUGAAGAAGGCCUUCGGGUUGUAAAGCACUUUCGGUGGGGACAAACAAGGUGGAGCUAACAUCUCCGCCUCUGAUGGUACCCAAAGAAGAAGCACCGGCUAACUCUGUGCCAGCCGCCGCCGUAA